GGUUUCGUAGUGUAGUGGCUAUCACAUCGGAUUUUGAUUCCGAUAACGUGGGUUCGAUUCCCACCGAGACCU